rnacentral:rRNA from 1 species
GAUGAACGCUGGCGGCGUGCUUAACACAUGCAAGUCGAACGAUGAAGCCCAGCUUGCUGGGUGGUUUAGUGGCGAACGGGUGAGUAACACGUGAGUAACCUGCCCUUAACUCUGGGAUAAGCCUGGAAAACGGGGUCUAAUACCGGAUAGGGGUGUCCACCGCAGGGUGGGGGCUGGAAAGAUUUAUCGGUUUUGGCUGGACUCGCGGCCUAUCAGCUUGUGGGUGAGGGCAUGGCUCACCAAGGCGACGGCGGGUAGCCGGCCUGGGAGGGUGACCGGCCACACUGGGACUGCGACACGGCCCAGACUCCUACGGGAGGCAGCAGUGGGGAAUAUUGCACAAUGGGCGCAAGCCUGAUGCAGCGACGCCGCGUGAGGGAUGACGGCCUUCGGGUUGUAAACCUCUUUCAGUAGGGAAGAAGCGAAAGUGACGGUACCUGCAGAAGAAGCACCGGCUAACUACGUG